CCAAUAAGCAGCAUCCUCCAUGGCCUCUGC
rnacentral:piRNA from 1 species